GGCACUCUAGAAUGACUGCCGGUGACAAACCGGAGGAAGGCGGGGAUGACGUCAAAUCAUCAUGCCCCUUAUGACUUGGGCUACACACGUACUACAAUGGCUGGUACAACGGGAAGCGAAGCCGCGAGGUGGAGCCAAUCCUAUAAAAGCCAGUCUCAGUUCGGAUUGCAGGCUGCAACUCGCCUGCAUGAAGUCGGAAUUGCUAGUAAUCGCGGAUCAGCAUGCCGCGGUGAAUACGUUCCCGGGUCUUGUACACACCGCCCGUCACACCACGAGAGUUACAACACCCGAAGUCGGUGG
rnacentral:rRNA from 1 species